GGGGAUUUAGCUCAGUGAUAGAGUUUCCGCUUUGCAUGCGGAAGGACCGGUGUUCCAUUCCCCG
rnacentral:tRNA from 1 species